GGGAAUAAGAUUUAAUAUUUUAUUCCAGUUUAAUGAGUUUUCAAAGUUUUAUAUUAAACCCCGGGUUAUUGUGUUAUUGAUAAAUAAUUGUAUUUUUAAAACUGAUUUUCAUAUAUUGUUUUGAAAAUUUUAGAUGAUUAUUAUGUGAAUAUAUGUGUGAUGUGAGUAAGUGGUAUUGGUGGAUUUGUUGGUUAAUUAAUUAUGGUUAAUUAUGAGUAUUAUAUGAUUAAUAUAUGAAUUUUUGUGAAUUUUAUAUUAUCUGGUUUAUUGCGUUAACUGCUCAUAUGUGUUCGUAUUUGAGAGAUUUCAAAUUCUAUAUGCUCAGGAGAAAAUAUAGUUUAUUUGGAUAUUUUCAUAUCGAUUUAUGGAAUGUUAGAUGAUUUUAUAAUCGAUUUACGGAUUUAAUUGUGUAUAUUUAUAUUUAUUUAUUAAUUAUGUGACUUCCGUAAAACCGUCCACUCGUAACGGUGUAGCGAUUUUUCUUCCCGGAAGUUUCGAGAAAACUUACCUUUAGCCUAAUUUCAAUAUUCCGGACAUUUUUCGUGUUUUGACUUUUUCGAUCCGGAGUACGGUUUUCCCCGGAGUCGGUCCGGCGGAGUUUUUCGGGUAUUUUAAUUGUUGAUAAUUAUCCAGUUUGUCUCGAUAAGCGUGAAACGAGAUAUUUUGAUUAUUAUAUUCAUCCUUAUCUUGUAAUAAUUGCAAUGGGACCCGCAGACCAAUAAUUGAGUUAAAAAGCCCCGUUUUGAUGAUUAUCUCGAAAACCGGUACCGAUUGGACCCCGCUUUAUUAAUAUAAAGCUAUUAAAUACGUAUUUUCAUGUCAUAAACGAUCCAAAGAGGUACCAAUUAUUUGUAAAUAUAAAUAGACUUUCCUGUAACUUAUUUUCACCGUAGAAAUCAUUUCAACAGUUUCUCUGCACGAAUAUCGAGAGAAACCGAGCGGUGUUCUUCGUGUUCUUCAUAAUCAAACGAAGAUUUGAAGGUGUUAUUGGAAUCCGAUGGAGGCGUAUAAAUAGUCAAAACGAAGCUAUCGACGCGUAGAAUCAAGCUUAAUCAUCCGGUUAUAUGCAGAUUCAACAGGAUGUGGACGAGACGUGUACGCUCGAAGACGUCAGAAAGUCGGAAUGGUAUUGCAAAGCGAAUAAGGGAUGAUUGAGUAAGCGAAGCGAAGUGGCGAAUAGAGUAUAGCUAGAGAUGGUCUAGAGAUUACGAGAUGCAUAGAUUGUGAAAGUUGAAAGAUGAGGUUGAGCUAUGAAACUGGAGUCAGAUUUAAGGCAAGUAUCCUAAACCUUUCUCUUGGAUAUAUUGCAAAUAUUCUGAUCCAUUCCUUUGGUAUCUGUUGCAAGAAUUCGUACCUUUCCUUUCUAUAUUUAAAAGUGCAUAUGUUCGGAUCUAUUCUUUCUAUUCUUCAAGUUUCUAAAGAAUUUCCAUUUUAUUAAUUAAUUCGAAGUUCAGAUUGUCAUUGAAGCAUGUGUUGCUCAGUGAUAGUUGGAGCUUUGAAUGAAUUGGGAUCUUCUUGAUUAUUCAACCCGCCAUUGUCAUGCUGGUUUAGCAGGCUAAAUUCAGUUGCUUAGCCGAUAAUGGAGGAUACUGAAUAGUUGAGGAUUUCCUGAACUGUGAUUUAUGAAAUGAUGGAUCAUGAUUUAUGAAUAGAUUAUUAUCAAAGUUUGAAUUGGAAUUAUUCUGUUGUUGAUGAUAUUUAUGAUGAUGUUCUGUUAAUUUACAUUGGCUUCUUGAAUUGAAUUAGAGAAUUGGAUUAUUGUUUUUAUAUAAACCUGUGGACCAGAUUCGUGGUCAUGUUAGGCCAAUGAGUGCCUUGGAUCCAGUGAUAGAGCAUGGCGGGGCCUGCUCGGGGUUAGUGCGGAACUGAUCAGCUGCCUAACCUUGGUUUUAAUUAAAAUGUGAUAGUCCAAUUCAAUAAUUCUUUGGAAAGAUUGAAUUUCUCAGUUUAAAUGCUGCAAGGUAUUGUAAAUCAUUCUAUACAAUACCAUGAACUCAUGAAAUCAGGUUGAAUCCUCUUAUAUCUUGAACUCGUGAACUUUUGUUAUAUCAUUUCAGAACUAUCAUUGUUUAUUAUUACUUGCUGAGCAUUGUUGCUCACCCUUGCUAUUCCUUUCUAACCAUUUCAGAAAGGCUUAAAGUUGAGAUGAUUGAUUGAGAUUGUGGAUAAGGCUAAUGCUAGGCGAGGAGACAGAGUUGAGGAUCCAGUGGUUGAGGAGUGUUCAGGAAAGUUGAUGAGGUUGGUGCAAGCUAGAGCUGUGCUAUAGGGUUUCAAGUGUAAGUCAUAGCUGGAAUAGUUGACAGUGAUUCCUCUUAUCGAAGAUGAUCUGAUUUGGUAAGAAAUGCUGUGUAAUAUUAGUGGUGGAUUCUAAUUUCAAUACUGUAACCUGGAUGCGAUCCUGUUGUUUUAGGGGGUUGAAAUGUGCUCUUUCAAAUAUUUUAUGAUGGCUUUCAAGUUUUGAAUUUCAAGUUUUAAAAUUCUUUUGGAUUUUCAUUAUCUUUAUAUAAAAAAAAAAUAUUGCAGGUUUUUUUUUAAGGUGUUUUAAAAAUGGUUUUUGUGUGGUGACGUCAGAAUCCAGACCCCCGGAUUCUCGGGCCGUCACAGUUGGUAUCAGAGCAACAGGUUAUAAGUAUUUGAAAUUAGAAUAUAGAUCAUAGUUAUAGGUUUUCUAGAGAAGAAUGUGGUGUAACCUCACAUAGAGGUAUGGUCGGACUAUUUAGGAAUAGUCUAGAGAUGUGAGUGAAGCAUAGAGUUUAGUUAGAUGAUCAAGUUAAGUGUGGAUAUUUAAAGAGAUUAGGAUUCUUAAGUUUAGACGUAUGAUUUCUAGUAUGUUGAUUAAUUGAGAUGGUGAAUUGUGGAAAAGGUCAGUAUUAGACCUAGAUAGAAGAGUUUGAUAGUGAAUGAUUGAAUUGAGAAUGGUGAAAAUGCAGAGUUCAGAGUAUUCUGACUAUACUGCAUAUUUGAAAUUGGAUUAUUGUAUUGACUUGAGGAUGAUAUAAAUGCAUGGUUCAUAGUAUGUUGACCAUGUCAGAUAUUUGGGAGAUGUAUAUUGUUUUGAGUGAAGAUAUGAAGUGUAAGUGUAGAGUAUGAGUUGUAUUGGAUUAGAAGGAGAGAUUGGUAGAUAGAGGUUGAUAGGUGAGAAGUGAAUGAUAGAGAAUACGUGGAAUUGAGUCCAGUUAUUAGAGAUGAUGUCUACGAGUAAGUUAGAACGUUAGUCCUCGACGACAACGCUUCGAGCUAAUCGGGAUUUCAAAUGGCAUCAAGGUGGGCCCAUAACCCACAGGUUGAUGAUCCAGAUAAUCGACGAUAUGCUACGUGUUUUUGCUAUUUACUUCACAGAUAAUGGGGAUGAAGUGGAGGCCAAGACUUAUUACGAACGAUAACGUCUACUAUGAAUUUUACAAGGCUGCUACGAACGAACGUUAAUCAACUAUCAAGAACGUUGAAAAGAUGACAUAAAUCGAAUAAACGAUUUCGUAAAGUAGAGUGGGAAUUUGAGAAGACCUUGGCAAUACCUCUCUUCAACUAAAGGUUCUUUUGAUUGUUUUCUCAUCAGUGAGAUAUUAUCAUGAUAUCUUUUCUACAAAAGUUUUGAUAAAUGAGAUCUUCAAUUUCUCAAAUUCUAAGAUGACAUUGGUAUUGAUUAUUGGUAUGAGUUGGAAAGCAAAGAUGUGUGAUAAAGGUUUGUUGUAAAGAGAUAGUGAUGUUCCUUGAUAUUGUUUGACAUUUCUUGACAUUCCUUGAUACCCUUUCAUCUACCUUGAUAUCCCUUAGUGUUCUUUGAUAUUGUUGAUAUUCAUUGAUAUUCUCUGAUAUUCCUUAACAUUUCUUCAAUUUGAUUGGGAUGAACAACCCUAUUUAUAGGGGACACAAGGUAUACCUGUCUGUGUGAUAGGAGUUGGAUGGGACGCCAUCACUUGUGUGUGUUGUGAUUACAAGAAGGUUAACAACCUUUAGUAGUGUCUAAUGUGGACACGCAACACCAAGUUCGUUGAUCAUAUAGAUCUCUCAGUCACUCCUUUAUUCAAAUGUGAUCUACCUUGAAAACAUUUUGUUCUAUUCAAAAUUCCACAAGAUUGAUUCUUGGGAAAUGAAUUUUGCAAUUGUAAAAGUUUGAUUUUCCUUUUUCAUUAAAGUUAAAGGUAUGCCAAGAUCAACCAAAGGUGAAUGACGAUAUGAUAUUACGAAGCGUGUACGUUUUAGUUUCUUCGGAGGAUUCCGAGGACGGAAUCCUUAUAAGGGGGGUAGAAUGUAAUAUCCCAUAUUAUUAAAUUUAGAUGUGAUUAUUAUAAAUCUAUUUGUCUAGAUAUUAUUGUUGGCUCUAGUUGAAUAUUGAUAUGAUUAUGUGAAUAGUUGUAUGUGAUUAUACUUGUUAUGUGGAUUAAUAUGGAUUUUACAGAUUAUGCAUCCUCCUUCUUUUUCUGAUUCCGAGGACGGAAUCCCUAUAAGGAGGGUAGAUUGUAAUGACCUGGAUUUUUAAAAAUAUUUUUAUUAGUAUUAAAAGUGAUUUUUCUUAAAAAGAAGGGAAUAAGAUUUAAUAUUUUAUUCCAGUUUAAUGAGUUUUCAAAGUUUUAUAUUAAACCCCGGGUUAUUGUGUUAUUGAUAAAUAAUUGUAUUUUUAAAACUGAUUUUCAUAUAUUGUUUUGAAAAUUUUAGAUGAUUAUUAUGUGAAUAUAUGUGUGAUGUGAGUAAGUGGUAUUGGUGGAUUUGUUGGUUAAUUAAUUAUGGUUAAUUAUGAGUAUUAUAUGAUUAAUAUAUGAAUUUUUGUGAAUUUUAUAUUAUCUGGUUUAUUGCGUUAACUGCUCAUAUGUGUUCGUAUUUGAGAGAUUUCAAAUUCUAUAUGCUCAGGAGAAAAUAUAGUUUAUUUGGAUAUUUUCAUAUCGAUUUAUGGAAUGUUAGAUGAUUUUAUAAUCGAUUUACGGAUUUAAUUGUGUAUAUUUAUAUUUAUUUAUUAAUUAUGUGACUUCCGUAAAACCGUCCACUCGUAACGGUGUAGCGAUUUUUCUUCCCGGAAGUUUCGAGAAAACUUACCUUUAGCCUAAUUUCAAUAUUCCGGACAUUUUUCGUGUUUUGACUUUUUCGAUCCGGAGUACGGUUUUCCCCGGAGUCGGUCCGGCGGAGUUUUUCGGGUAUUUUAAUUGUUGAUAAUUAUCCAGUUUGUCUCGAUAAGCGUGAAACGAGAUAUUUUGAUUAUUAUAUUCAUCCUUAUCUUGUAAUAAUUGCAAUGGGACCCGCAGACCAAUAAUUGAGUUAAAAAGCCCCGUUUUGAUGAUUAUCUCGAAAACCGGUACCGAUUGGACCCCGCUUUAUUAAUAUAAAGCUAUUAAAUACGUAUUUUCAUGUCAUAAACGAUCCAAAGGGGUACCAAUUAUUUGUAAAUAUAAAUAGACUUUCCUGUAACUUAUUUUCACCGUAGAAAUCAUUUCAACAGUUUCUCUGCACGAAUAUCGAGAGAAACCGAGCGGUGUUCUUCGUGUUCUUCAUAAUCAAACGAAGAUUUGAAGGUGUUAUUGGAAUCCGAUGGAGGCGUAUAAAUAGUCAAAACGAAGCUAUCGACGCGUAGAAUCAAGCUUAAUCAUCCGGUUAUAUGCAGAUUCAACAGGAUGUGGACGAGACGUGUACGCUCGAAGACGUCAGAAAGUCGGAAUGGUAUUGCAAAGCGAAUAAGGGAUGAUUGAGUAAGCGAAGCGAAGUGGCGAAUAGAGUAUAGCUAGAGAUGGUCUAGAGAUUACGAGAUGCAUAGAUUGUGAAAGUUGAAAGAUGAGGUUGAGCUAUGAAACUGGAGUCAGAUUUAAGGCAAGUAUCCUAAACCUUUCUCUUGGAUAUAUUGCAAAUAUUCUGAUCCAUUCCUUUGGUAUCUGUUGCAAGAAUUCGUACCUUUCCUUUCUAUAUUUAAAAGUGCAUAUGUUCGGAUCUAUUCUUUCUAUUCUUCAAGUUUCUAAAGAAUUUCCAUUUUAUUAAUUAAUUCGAAGUUCAGAUUGUCAUUGAAGCAUGUGUUGCUCAGUGAUAGUUGGAGCUUUGAAUGAAUUGGGAUCUUCUUGAUUAUUCAACCCGCCAUUGUCAUGCUGGUUUAGCAGGCUAAAUUCAGUUGCUUAGCCGAUAAUGGAGGAUACUGAAUAGUUGAGGAUUUCCUGAACUGUGAUUUAUGAAAUGAUGGAUCAUGAUUUAUGAAUAGAUUAUUAUCAAAGUUUGAAUUGGAAUUAUUCUGUUGUUGAUGAUAUUUAUGAUGAUGUUCUGUUAAUUUACAUUGGCUUCUUGAAUUGAAUUAGAGAAUUGGAUUAUUGUUUUUAUAUAAACCUGUGGACCAGAUUCGUGGUCAUGUUAGGCCAAUGAGUGCCUUGGAUCCAGUGAUAGAGCAUGGCGGGGCCUGCUCGGGGUUAGUGCGGAACUGAUCAGCUGCCUAACCUUGGUUUUAAUUAAAAUGUGAUAGUCCAAUUCAAUAAUUCUUUGGAAAGAUUGAAUUUCUCAGUUUAAAUGCUGCAAGGUAUUGUAAAUCAUUCUAUACAAUACCAUGAACUCAUGAAAUCAGGUUGAAUCCUCUUAUAUCUUGAACUCGUGAACUUUUGUUAUAUCAUUUCAGAACUAUCAUUGUUUAUUAUUACUUGCUGAGCAUUGUUGCUCACCCUUGCUAUUCCUUUCUAACCAUUUCAGAAAGGCUUAAAGUUGAGAUGAUUGAUUGAGAUUGUGGAUAAGGCUAAUGCUAGGCGAGGAGACAGAGUUGAGGAUCCAGUGGUUGAGGAGUGUUCAGGAAAGUUGAUGAGGUUGGUGCAAGCUAGAGCUGUGCUAUAGGGUUUCAAGUGUAAGUCAUAGCUGGAAUAGUUGACAGUGAUUCCUCUUAUCGAAGAUGAUCUGAUUUGGUAAGAAAUGCUGUGUAAUAUUAGUGGUGGAUUCUAAUUUCAAUACUGUAACCUGGAUGCGAUCCUGUUGUUUUAGGGGGUUGAAAUGUGCUCUUUCAAAUAUUUUAUGAUGGCUUUCAAGUUUUGAAUUUCAAGUUUUAAAAUUCUUUUGGAUUUUCAUUAUCUUUAUAUAAAAAAAAAAUAUUGCAGGUUUUUUUUUAAGGUGUUUUAAAAAUGGUUUUUGUGUGGUGACGUCAGAAUCCAGACCCCCGGAUUCUCGGGCCGUCACAGUUGGUAUCAGAGCAACAGGUUAUAAGUAUUUGAAAUUAGAAUAUAGAUCAUAGUUAUAGGUUUUCUAGAGAAGAAUGUGGUGUAACCUCACAUAGAGGUAUGGUCGGACUAUUUAGGAAUAGUCUAGAGAUGUGAGUGAAGCAUAGAGUUUAGUUAGAUGAUCAAGUUAAGUGUGGAUAUUUAAAGAGAUUAGGAUUCUUAAGUUUAGACGUAUGAUUUCUAGUAUGUUGAUUAAUUGAGAUGGUGAAUUGUGGAAAAGGUCAGUAUUAGACCUAGAUAGAAGAGUUUGAUAGUGAAUGAUUGAAUUGAGAAUGGUGAAAAUGCAGAGUUCAGAGUAUUCUGACUAUACUGCAUAUUUGAAAUUGGAUUAUUGUAUUGACUUGAGGAUGAUAUAAAUGCAUGGUUCAUAGUAUGUUGACCAUGUCAGAUAUUUGGGAGAUGUAUAUUGUUUUGAGUGAAGAUAUGAAGUGUAAGUGUAGAGUAUGAGUUGUAUUGGAUUAGAAGGAGAGAUUGGUAGAUAGAGGUUGAUAGGUGAGAAGUGAAUGAUAGAGAAUACGUGGAAUUGAGUCCAGUUAUUAGAGAUGAUGUCUACGAGUAAGUUAGAACGUUAGUCCUCGACGACAACGCUUCGAGCUAAUCGGGAUUUCAAAUGGCAUCAAGGUGGGCCCAUAACCCACAGGUUGAUGAUCCAGAUAAUCGACGAUAUGCUACGUGUUUUUGCUAUUUACUUCACAGAUAAUGGGGAUGAAGUGGAGGCCAAGACUUAUUACGAACGAUAACGUCUACUAUGAAUUUUACAAGGCUGCUACGAACGAACGUUAAUCAACUAUCAAGAACGUUGAAAAGAUGACAUAAAUCGAAUAAACGAUUUCGUAAAGUAGAGUGGGAAUUUGAGAAGACCUUGGCAAUACCUCUCUUCAACUAAAGGUUCUUUUGAUUGUUUUCUCAUCAGUGAGAUAUUAUCAUGAUAUCUUUUCUACAAAAGUUUUGAUAAAUGAGAUCUUCAAUUUCUCAAAUUCUAAGAUGACAUUGGUAUUGAUUAUUGGUAUGAGUUGGAAAGCAAAGAUGUGUGAUAAAGGUUUGUUGUAAAGAGAUAGUGAUGUUCCUUGAUAUUGUUUGACAUUUCUUGACAUUCCUUGAUACCCUUUCAUCUACCUUGAUAUCCCUUAGUGUUCUUUGAUAUUGUUGAUAUUCAUUGAUAUUCUCUGAUAUUCCUUAACAUUUCUUCAAUUUGAUUGGGAUGAACAACCCUAUUUAUAGGGGACACAAGGUAUACCUGUCUGUGUGAUAGGAGUUGGAUGGGACGCCAUCACUUGUGUGUGUUGUGAUUACAAGAAGGUUAACAACCUUUAGUAGUGUCUAAUGUGGACACGCAACACCAAGUUCGUUGAUCAUAUAGAUCUCUCAGUCACUCCUUUAUUCAAAUGUGAUCUACCUUGAAAACAUUUUGUUCUAUUCAAAAUUCCACAAGAUUGAUUCUUGGGAAAUGAAUUUUGCAAUUGUAAAAGUUUGAUUUUCCUUUUUCAUUAAAGUUAAAGGUAUGCCAAGAUCAACCAAAGGUGAAUGACGAUAUGAUAUUACGAAGCGUGUACGUUUUAGUUUCUUCGGAGGAUUCCGAGGACGGAAUCCUUAUAAGGGGGGUAGAAUGUAAUAUCCCAUAUUAUUAAAUUUAGAUGUGAUUAUUAUAAAUCUAUUUGUCUAGAUAUUAUUGUUGGCUCUAGUUGAAUAUUGAUAUGAUUAUGUGAAUAGUUGUAUGUGAUUAUACUUGUUAUGUGGAUUAAUAUGGAUUUUACAGAUUAUGCAUCCUCCUUCUUUUUCUGAUUCCGAGGACGGAAUCCCUAUAAGGAGGGUAGAUUGUAAUGACCUGGAUUUUUAAAAAUAUUUUUAUUAGUAUUAAAAGUGAUUUUUCUUAAAAAGAAGGGAAUAAGAUUUAAUAUUUUAUUCCAGUUUAAUGAGUUUUCAAAGUUUUAUAUUAAACCCCGGGUUAUUGUGUUAUUGAUAAAUAAUUGUAUUUUUAAAACUGAUUUUCAUAUAUUGUUUUGAAAAUUUUAGAUGAUUAUUAUGUGAAUAUAUGUGUGAUGUGAGUAAGUGGUAUUGGUGGAUUUGUUGGUUAAUUAAUUAUGGUUAAUUAUGAGUAUUAUAUGAUUAAUAUAUGAAUUUUUGUGAAUUUUAUAUUAUCUGGUUUAUUGCGUUAACUGCUCAUAUGUGUUCGUAUUUGAGAGAUUUCAAAUUCUAUAUGCUCAGGAGAAAAUAUAGUUUAUUUGGAUAUUUUCAUAUCGAUUUAUGGAAUGUUAGAUGAUUUUAUAAUCGAUUUACGGAUUUAAUUGUGUAUAUUUAUAUUUAUUUAUUAAUUAUGUGACUUCCGUAAAACCGUCCACUCGUAACGGUGUAGCGAUUUUUCUUCCCGGAAGUUUCGAGAAAACUUACCUUUAGCCUAAUUUCAAUAUUCCGGACAUUUUUCGUGUUUUGACUUUUUCGAUCCGGAGUACGGUUUUCCCCGGAGUCGGUCCGGCGGAGUUUUUCGGGUAUUUUAAUUGUUGAUAAUUAUCCAGUUUGUCUCGAUAAGCGUGAAACGAGAUAUUUUGAUUAUUAUAUUCAUCCUUAUCUUGUAAUAAUUGCAAUGGGACCCGCAGACCAAUAAUUGAGUUAAAAAGCCCCGUUUUGAUGAUUAUCUCGAAAACCGGUACCGAUUGGACCCCGCUUUAUUAAUAUAAAGCUAUUAAAUACGUAUUUUCAUGUCAUAAACGAUCCAAAGGGGUACCAAUUAUUUGUAAAUAUAAAUAGACUUUCCUGUAACUUAUUUUCACCGUAGAAAUCAUUUCAACAGUUUCUCUGCACGAAUAUCGAGAGAAACCGAGCGGUGUUCUUCGUGUUCUUCAUAAUCAAACGAAGAUUUGAAGGUGUUAUUGGAAUCCGAUGGAGGCGUAUAAAUAGUCAAAACGAAGCUAUCGACGCGUAGAAUCAAGCUUAAUCAUCCGGUUAUAUGCAGAUUCAACAGGAUUUGGACGAGACGUGUACGCUCGAAGACGUCAGAAAGUCGGAAUGGUAUUGCAAAGCGAAUAAGGGAUGAUUGAGUAAGCGAAGCGAAGUGGCGAAUAGAGUAUAGCUAGAGAUGGUCUAGAGAUUACGAGAUGCAUAGAUUGUGAAAGUUGAAAGAUGAGGUUGAGCUAUGAAACUGGAGUCAGAUUUAAGGCAAGUAUCCUAAACCUUUCUCUUGGAUAUAUUGCAAAUAUUCUGAUCCAUUCCUUUGGUAUCUGUUGCAAGAAUUCGUACCUUUCCUUUCUAUAUUUAAAAGUGCAUAUGUUCGGAUCUAUUCUUUCUAUUCUUCAAGUUUCUAAAGAAUUUCCAUUUUAUUAAUUAAUUCGAAGUUCAGAUUGUCAUUGAAGCAUGUGUUGCUCAGUGAUAGUUGGAGCUUUGAAUGAAUUGGGAUCUUCUUGAUUAUUCAACCCGCCAUUGUCAUGCUGGUUUAGCAGGCUAAAUUCAGUUGCUUAGCCGAUAAUGGAGGAUACUGAAUAGUUGAGGAUUUCCUGAACUGUGAUUUAUGAAAUGAUGGAUCAUGAUUUAUGAAUAGAUUAUUAUCAAAGUUUGAAUUGGAAUUAUUCUGUUGUUGAUGAUAUUUAUGAUGAUGUUCUGUUAAUUUACAUUGGCUUCUUGAAUUGAAUUAGAGAAUUGGAUUAUUGUUUUUAUAUAAACCUGUGGACCAGAUUCGUGGUCAUGUUAGGCCAAUGAGUGCCUUGGAUCCAGUGAUAGAGCAUGGCGGGGCCUGCUCGGGGUUAGUGCGGAACUGAUCAGCUGCCUAACCUUGGUUUUAAUUAAAAUGUGAUAGUCCAAUUCAAUAAUUCUUUGGAAAGAUUGAAUUUCUCAGUUUAAAUGCUGCAAGGUAUUGUAAAUCAUUCUAUACAAUACCAUGAACUCAUGAAAUCAGGUUGAAUCCUCUUAUAUCUUGAACUCGUGAACUUUUGUUAUAUCAUUUCAGAACUAUCAUUGUUUAUUAUUACUUGCUGAGCAUUGUUGCUCACCCUUGCUAUUCCUUUCUAACCAUUUCAGAAAGGCUUAAAGUUGAGAUGAUUGAUUGAGAUUGUGGAUAAGGCUAAUGCUAGGCGAGGAGACAGAGUUGAGGAUCCAGUGGUUGAGGAGUGUUCAGGAAAGUUGAUGAGGUUGGUGCAAGCUAGAGCUGUGCUAUAGGGUUUCAAGUGUAAGUCAUAGCUGGAAUAGUUGACAGUGAUUCCUCUUAUCGAAGAUGAUCUGAUUUGGUAAGAAAUGCUGUGUAAUAUUAGUGGUGGAUUCUAAUUUCAAUACUGUAACCUGGAUGCGAUCCUGUUGUUUUAGGGGGUUGAAAUGUGCUCUUUCAAAUAUUUUAUGAUGGCUUUCAAGUUUUGAA